rnacentral:rRNA from 1 species
CGGCCCACACUAAUACGGGAGGCAGCAGUAGGGAAUCUUCCGCAAUGGACGAAAGUCUGACGGAGCAACGCCGCGUGAGUGAUGAAGGCUUUCGGGUCGUAAAACUCUGUUGUUAGGGAAGAACAAGUGCUAGUUGAAUAAGCUGGCACCUUGACGGUACCUAACCAGAAAGCCACGGCUAACUACGUGCCAGCAGCCGCGGUAAUACGUAGGUGGCAAGCGUUAUCCGGAAUUAUUGGGCGUAAAGCGCGCGCAGGUGGUUUCUUAAGUCUGAUGUGAAAGCCCACGGCUCAACCGUGGAGGGUCAUUGGAAACUGGGAGACUUGAGUGCAGAAGAGGAAAGUGGAAUUCCAUGUGUAGCGGUGAAAUGCGUAGAGAUAUGGAGGAACACCAGUGGCGAAGGCGACUUUCUGGUCUGUAACUGACACUGAGGCGCGAAAGCGUGGGAGCAACAGGAUUAGAUACCCUGGUAGUCCACGCCGUAACGAUGAGUGCUAGUGUUAGAGGGU